GCCUCAGUAGCUCAGCCCGGUAGAGCACCUGAUUUGUAAUCAGACGGUCGGGGGUUCGACUCCCUCCUGGGGCUCCA
rnacentral:tRNA from 2 species